rnacentral:rRNA from 1 species
UACAGAGGGUGCGAGCGUUAAUCGGAAUUACUGGGCGUAAAGCGUGCGUAGACGGCUAUCUAAGUCGGGUGUGAAAGCCCCGGGCUCAACCUGGGAAUUGCAUUCGAGACUGAAUAGCUAGGGUGCGGUAGAGGGAAGCGGAAUUUCCGGUGUAGCGGUGAAAUGCGUAGAUAUCGGAAGGAACAUCAGUGGCGAAAGCGGCUUCCUGGACCAGCACCGACGUUCAGGCACGAAAGCGUGGGGAGC